rnacentral:snoRNA from 1 species
UGCUGUUUUAAAGUCACAAAGGCCAAAUACAUUUUCCCCAUCCUUGGUUACACUGUAAUGCAAAAGAAUUUCCAGCUCUUUCCUGUUGCACAGCUGACUUCUGCCAUUUUGUUGUUGCUUUAAGGAGUUAAGGAACAUGC